UACAUUUAUAGUGCUGAUAUUAACAAUCUGACUCUUAAGCCUUUCGUUCUCUUCUAUUUCUUUUUUAACAAAUCGAACGAUUAAACGAACGAUUAUUAUAGACAUUAGGAAAGACAGGAAAAUGGCAACCGAUAUCUUCAGCAUAGAACCCAAGAUGUGCACAGGAAAUAAUUUUC